rnacentral:rRNA from 1 species
GAUGAACGCUGGCGGCGUGCCUAAUACAUGCAAGUCGAGCGAACGGACGCGACGCUUGCUUCUCUGAUGUUAGCGGCGGACGGGUGAGUCACACGUGGAUAACCUACCUAUCAGACUGGUAUCACUUCGGGAAACCGUAGCUAAUCCCGUAUAAUCUUUUGCACCACAUGGUUCAAUAGUGAAAGACGGUCUUGCUGUCACUUCUCGCUGGAUCCGCGCUGCAUUAGCUAGUUGUUAAGGUAACGGCUUACCAAGGCAACGAUGCAUAGCCGACCUGAGAGGGUGAUCGGCCACACUGGAACUGAGACACGGUCCAGACUCCUACGGGAGGCAGCAGUAGGGAAUCUUCCGCAAUGGGCGAAAGCCUGACGGAGCAACGCCGCGUGAGUGAUGAAGGUCUUCGGAUCGUAAAACUCUGUUAUUAGGGAAGAACAUAUGUGUAAGUAACUGUGCACAUCUUGACGGUACCGAAUCAGAAAGCCACGGCUAACUACGUG